UCUCUGGAGGGCUAGUGUUUAGGCCACAGUGCCCUUGCCACUGCGGCCUGGGUUCGAUUCCCAGCCACUGGG
rnacentral:tRNA from 1 species